rnacentral:rRNA from 1 species
AUUGAACGCUGGCGGCAGGCUUAACACAUGCAAGUCGAGCGGAGAUGAGGUGCUUGCACCUUAUCUUAGCGGCGGACGGGUGAGUAAUGCUUAGGAAUCUGCCUAUUAGUGGGGGACAACAUUCCGAAAGGAAUGCUAAUACCGCAUACGUCCUACGGGAGAAAGCAGGGGAUCUUCGGACCUUGCGCUAAUAGAUGAGCCUAAGUCGGAUUGGCUAGUUGGUGGGGUAAAGGCCUACCAAGGGGACGAUCUGUAGCGGGUCUGAGAGGAUGAUCCGCCACACUGGGACUGGGACACGGCCCAGACGCCUACGGGAGGCAGCAGUGGGGAAUAUUGGACAAUGGGGGGAACCCUGAUCCAGCCAUGCCGCGUGUGUGAAGAAGGCCUUAUGGUUGUAAAGCACUUUAAGCGAGGAGGAGGCUACUGAGACUAAUACUCUUGGAUAGUGGACGUUACUCGCAGAAUAAGCACCGGCUAACUCUGUGCCAGCCGCCGCGGUAA